GGCUGGCGGGUGCGGCGGCGGCGGUCGAGGCACAGGCGGCGGGUCUGCUCUUUGUCUCCGCCGCUCCAAAAUGGCUGCGGCGAGCCAGGCGGAGGACACCGCCGGACGACGUGGGCUCCCGCCGAGCGCCGGUAAGCGCAGCGCCUGCACCAGCCGCGCCCGGAAGCCGUCUUCUGCCCUUUAUUUCUGUUUGCGGGAGGGAAGGGUAAUAAAUCGCCUAAACCGAAGUGUGCACGCACCUAGUCUCUACCGCUCUUCGGGCUGCACCGCACUCUCCACUUCUGGCAGGCGGGUGUUUUAAGCAUUUGACGGUGUCAUCGACACUGCCAUAGGUUUUCUUUUCUCCGCCCCUCCCCCACUGGAAAUGCCCAGAAGCCGUGUCCAGAAAGGCCCCAGGCCGGGACCUCUCGGUCCCUAAGGCCCGGGGCCGUGCCGGGAGCACCGCGGGCGGGCGGGGCUGCAGACCUUAGAGGGACUGCUGCGCUCCUAAGCGGCGCUCCGGCGCUGUGCGUGAUCCUCCCGCAGCCUUCCCAACCGCUUGAUACCUGCAGUGUACGACCCUCUCCCCCUGUUCUCUUGACACCGAUGUCCCUAAGGAGCAGCACAGAUUGGAGCCUAGGAAAGGUGUUUGGGAUAAAUCCUAUAAGGUAUCAACGGGAAUUUCGUAUUUGAACGUUAGCCUCCAGAGGACCGGAAUGUACAUGAAUAUAGCAGGCUGGGUGUGAGGAAGCUGGGUGCGCUGGGAGCGAGCGUGAGGGCGCUGUGCCCCACUCCAAGGGCACCUUAAGCUCAGCGUGGGCAUGGCUUGAAUCUUCCAACAGGAGCAAAAAAUUGGAGUUGCAUGUAAAAUCUGUUUUUUGGUUUUGUUUUUUGCAGUGCUGGGGAUGGAACCCAGGAUCUGGUUCCUGGUAGGCAAGUACUUUAUCACUUUACCAGCCCCAAAUCUCAGAAUUUUUAAACGUUGACUAAUGAGAAAAUUUUAAAGUAGGUCAAGCCAUUAGCAGCAGGCUGCCAUCAGCCCCUGAGCACCUUGGGUAGUGGUACAGCUGUGUGUGUCCCUCAAAACUCUCAGGUAGGACUGGGGCAGAAAGCUGGACGCCAGGUGAAAGAAAUCUAGAUUCCCAGGCCUCCAGCCCCAAGGCCCAUGUAACUUUGGGGGUUCCCACGCUCACAUUCCUACCUGCACAUCUGCUGCUGAAAUUUUUUUUUUUUUUUUAGUUGAGAUGGACACAAUACCUUUAUUUAUUUAGUUGUUUUUAUGUGGUGCUGAGGAUUAAACCCAGUGCUUCACAUGGGCUAGGCAAGCGCUGUACCACAGAGUUACAACCCCAGCCCUGCUGCUGAAAUCUUUCGGAGUCAGCCACAGAGUGGUGGCUGCUGGGUCCUCCAAAGGCCCUUUGAGGACCCCUCUGCCCCUUAUGAUCCUGAGCCCCUGCAGGAGGGGCUCAGCCUCCUGCACCAUGUACUUGCUCAUGUCACUGCCAGUGCUCUCUGGAGUUCCCCACAGCCCACAGCUUCAGCAAAUGUGGCAGAGAUAAGGAUCCAUGUCCACUCAUCCCUUGCAGAAUGGUCCUGUGCACCAAAAGUGUUUGGGCAACAUAGGAUCCAUGGCUCAGGCAGUUGUACAGCUACUGUUUUCAAGAGCACUGCCCAUCUUUAGGAUGAGGUAGGGGUGGGAGUGGCCAGGAAAUCCUGAGGCUCCUUCCCUCAAGACUUCCCACAAGACUUCACAAGAGCAGUUGACACACAGCUGCUCAGCCCUGGCCACCCUGGAGACUCAGGAAAGGUUUCUCUUUAAGUGUAUGAUCUACAGAUUGAUACCUGCAGCGCACAAUCUAUGUAUGGUUUCCAUGUUGCCACAAGCAGUUAUGACUUCUGUAGUAUGAAAUUUGAAGUCCUGCCCAGCAUAAAGAGAAAGGGGGGGACUAUAACAAUUGGAAACUCCCAGCACUACAUGGAAACGUGGAAGAAAAUCUGGGAUGAGGGAGAGUGGCAGACCCCAAAACAGUACAGAUGAGCAGGUGGCCAAAGCUGCAGCUUCCCGAGCCAGCAAGUCUGUGGGUCUUUUAAAUUCAGUAAGCAGCAUCGCUUUUCCAUAAAAAUAGAGCAUCAGACACACUUACAUUUAGAAAUAAAUAUAACCCCAGUGAGUGAUUCCACGGUGCUCUGGAUGCUGAAGCCCUUCAUCAUACCACAGGCCUUCUGUUAAUGGUGUGUAUGUGUGUGGGGGUUGGACCAGAGUCGCUUUACCACUGAGCACCAUCCCCAACCUUUUUUUUUUUUUUUGGCAGUGCUAGGGAUUGAACCCAGGGCCUUGUACAUGCCAGGCAAGUACUCUACCAACUGAGCUAUGUCCCCAGCCCCCCUGCCCGUUGUUUUUUAUUUAUUUAUUUAUUUAUUUUUGUGUGGUGCUGAGGAUCAAACCCAGUGCCUCACAGAUGCUAGGCAAGUGCUCUACCACCUAGCCACAACCCCAGCCCUUUUUAUUUUUUAUUUUGAGAUAGGGUCUCAUUCGCUUGCAAGAGGCUGGCCUUGAACUUGCAUAUCCUCUUGCCUCAGACUCCCAGGUCACGGGGAUUACAGGUGUGGCCACUGCACCCAGCUCCCACAUGUAUUUUUGUUUAAAGGACAUACAGCCAGGUGGCAGCUGGAGGACUAGGGUUGGUUCCCAGGGUUCCACUUCCUGGGUGACCUCACUAGCCCUUCAGGCAGCCUUUCUCAGCUAUGUAGACUCAGAGGGACAUGAGCGUGGUCAGUGGACCCACAUCCAAGGGACUCGCUCAUGAGCGCAAACCUACUGUGCCAACACAGGUGCACACAUCUGUUAGCAUUGCCAUAAAUUAUCCCAAAUCUCUCUCACAGCUCUGAAAGCCGAGUCUGAAAUCAGGCUGUGGACAGAGCUGCACUCCCUCUUGAGGCAACAGAGGAGGGGGUCCUUCCUGCCUCUUCCAGCUUCGGGUGGCUCCAGGGGGUCCUUCCUUAUAUGACAGUACCCUCUCCCUUUUUUGCCUCCUAGGUUACCAGUACUUCUCCUCUUAUAGGGACACCUGUCCUUGAAUUUGGGACCUAAAUCCAGAAUGAUUUUGAGAGGUCUUUACUCAUUACCUUUGCAAAGACUCUACCUACAAAUAAGGUCCCUUCUUUUGUUUUGGGUGGAUAUGCAUUGGAGGGAGGGGACAUGACUCAGCCCUGUACGCCUGAUUCCCAGUCUGGUCACUCCUGCAGAGAAAGCCCUAGAGAGCCUGACCAGACCUUCAGCUGAGGACACAAGCUGCUGGGUCCCAGCAGCCUGACCUGAGGGACAGGGAAGAGCCUGGUAACGAUAGACCUGCUCAGUCAGGACUCCCUCACUACGGACAAGGCUGAGGGCCCAGGAGUCAUGAGAACCAACCACCCAAUACCCCUAUGAGCCCAUUUGCAGGAGAGGGAACCAAAGCCUGAGGAGGUUAAGUCCUUGGCCUGUGGUUGCAUUCUUGGUAGGGAGAGAAGCCAGCAUUCAGACCCUCAGGCUGCCAGGCCCCAGAGCUGAUCAACUCCUCCAUCCCCUCACUAAGCCCAGCUGGACACCCAUGGUGAGGUGCCCGCUCUCCUGCUAACUAGAGGCAGGCCCUUCCCUCCUGAGACAGAUGGGACCUCCCAAGCAGACUGUGGGUGAGCCUCAGCAAUACCUGGAGAGCCUCUUGGCUAACUUCCACCAAGAGCAGCCAUAGCCUCACGGCUGGGCUUCACAGAAAGGAGCCUGUGGGAAUUUCAGGAGGCACUACCCUCUCCUGCCAGCGCUCUGGAGUGUCGGACUUCCUGAAGGUCUCCCUCCCAGAAUGCCAAAGAGACAGGCAGGCCUUAGAUCCAGGGGAGCAACUGGGUGGCUUCUCACCUCCACCCUUCCUGGAAGGUGCAAUGCUCUGGACUUUCCUAAAGCGAGAUGUCCCUCAGGUGGGUCUUUAGAAUUUCUUUUUGCAUUGGUUAAUUCCUAAAAUAACUUGUCCACCUUCAGGUCACAUCUCAAUUUGUAAAACCCAAAUUCCAGCCAGGUGCAGUGAUGCCCACCAUGAUCCCAAGGACUCCAUUUCAGAGGCUGAGGUAGGAAGAUCACAAGUUCAAGGCCAGCUGGAACAACUUAGCAAGGCUGUGUCUUAAAAUAAAAAAGUAUAAAAAAAUGGCUAGAAAUGUAGGUCAGUGGUGGAACACUUCCCUGGUAUGCAUAGGACACAGGAUUCAACUCCCAGUACCAGGGAAAUUUUCAUUUUGUGAAUUUUUCAUGAAUUUUUUUCAUAUUUGGGGAGAAAAUACAUAUAUAUAUAUAUAUAUAUAUAUAUAUAUAUAUAUAUAUCAUAUUUGGGAGAAACAACUCUAUUACUAUAUUGAAUCGGUAGACCCCUCUAGGUAUUUAGUUUUCUUGUCUAACAUCUCCCAGUGGUGCUUUUGUUUUUGUUACUGAGGACUGAAUUCAGGGGCACUCUACCACUAAGCUACACCCCCAGCCCAUUUCAUUUUUCAUUUUGAAACAGGGUCUCAACAAGCUGCCAGACUGGCCUUGAACUUGUGAUCUUCCUGCCUCAGACUCUGGAGUAGCUAGGAUUACAGGUGUGUGCCACCAUGCCUUGCCAUUCAAUCAUAUUUUACAAUUUUCUGACUGUCAGUCUUUUCACUAGUUUUAUGUUGCAGUAUUUGUUUUUUGAUAUUCUUAUAGGGGGGGUCUCUUAAUUUUAAAAGUUUCAUAUUUUUUUUCCUUUUAGUUGAUAUUUAGUGGUCAGCAUCUAAUAUCUCAAUUUAUAUGUCUCCACAAUGCCUACUAACAAACUUUACAAUGACAGCACUUAUGGUUUGGUGCACCUUUCAAAGCAACUUCAGUGAAACUCAAGUUUUUCAGGAGAGUAGGUGUGUUAGCUGUCACUAUAGCAAAAUACCUGAAAAAAAUUAGCUUAUAAAAAGAAAAAGGGGGCUGGGGAUGUGGCUCAAGCAAUAGCGCUCACCUGGCAUGUGCGGGUCGCUGGGUUCUGAUCCUCUCUCUCUCUCUCUCUCUCUCUCUCUCUCUCUCAGAAGAAAAAAGAAAAGAAAAGGGUUAUUUUUGCUUGUUUUGGAGGUUUUAGCCCCUGACUGGUCGGCCCCGUGGCUUUGGGCCUAUGGUGAGGCACUGAUCGGGGCAGAAGCAUGUGGCCGAGCAGAACCACUGGCUUGUGGCCAGGAAGCAAAAGAGAAGAAGGGGCGGACCGGGGUUUCGCAGUCCCCUCAGAGGGCACCCUGCCAACGCCUGAGGCCCUCUCUCUAGACCCACCUCCCAAAGACUGCACCACCUCCUGAAAGCACCAUGCCAGGGACCAAAUCCUAACACAUGGGCCUCUCAGGGACCUUUCAGAUCUAAACCAUAACCCUGGCUUUCAGGGGUGGGUUUUUUGUCUGUUUUUUGGUACCACGGAUUGAACUCUGACACUCGACCACUGAGCCACACCCCCAGCCCUAUUUUGUAUUUUAUUUAGAGACAGGGUCUCACUGAGUUGCUUAGCAUAUCGCUUUUUGCUGAGGCUGGCUUUGAGCUCACGAUCCUCCUGCCUCAGCCUCCUGAGUCACUGGGAUUACAGGAGUAAGCCACUGCACCCAGCUUAAAUUUUAUUUUUUUUGACAUAGGUUCUUGCUUAGUCGAGGCUGGCCUGGGACUUGCAAUCCCCCUGCUUCAUCCUCCCGAGUCUCUGGAAUUACAGGCGUGCACCACCAUGCCCAGCAGCAAAAUGAAUUUUUAAAUCCCAGCUGUUUUGUUUUGUUUUUUUCUUGAUUUUGUCCACGAGUUUGAGCUUCUAUUUCCAGGAUGGUAGACUCCUCCUGAACUCGCCCUCCUUCGGGUAGUGCCACAAGCCAGGCAGCACGCAAACCAGCAUUAGCUGUGGUCACAGGGAGUGAGCCCAGGCCCAGACUCUGGAGAGGAGCCAGCACUAGGAAGCAGGGCAGGGCCGGUGAGCCACCUGUGUCUGAGGUCAAGACCCAGGCCAGACCAUGAAGGGCAGGUAAAACUCCAGCAACAACCUGAAGAGCUGGAAGGCAGAGUGAGGCAGUGGCACCUCUGGAAGGCAAGGGGCAUCCCAGAGAAGGGGAGACCCAUAUCAGAUGAUAACUCUUGCCUCGGUCUUUAGUUGACCUCUGAACCACGGUCAGCCAGACCCCAAACAGCCUGACCAAAGGACAGAGUGUGCUGGGCACAGUGGCGUAUUCCUGUAAUCCCAACAAUUUGGGAGGCUGAGGCAGGAGGAUCACAAGUUUGAGGCCAGCCUGGGCAACCUAGUGAGGUCCUGUCCCCAAAAAUAAAUCAAGUGGGGAUGCAGCCCAGUGGUAGAGCACCCCUAGGUUCAACCUCCAGUACAAAAACACAAAGUUCCCCAAGGAUAGAGUGUGGUCUGAGUCCCGUCAAGUCAAUUGCCAACUAACACAAAAAAUCAGCACUACUUUAAAAGAAUGCAGACUUACCACAGACUAUCAUCAUGUCAAGGACACAAUCCAAAAUCAACCAAUAUUAAAAGAAAAUAAUGUGAUUUCAUUCUCAAAAAAAAGAAGGCUGGAGAUCGACCCUGACAGGACCCAGAUGAUGGAGUUAACAAGCCGGGAUGUCAAGGCAACCCCAUGACCGUGCCCACUGGUGUGCAGAACAUAGGCUUUCAACAGUGGAUAGAUGGAGACAGUCAUGGCAGAUCACAGGAACCACAGGUCUGAAUGGAGAUUCUGGAACUGAAAAUGAAAAUGUUUUCAGUGAAAGUUAACUGGACUAAGAGCAAAGCAGGGAUCACGCAGUGAACUUGACCGUGUCUCAGUAGAACUUAUCCAAUCUAAAGGAAGCGCCUGUGGGGCAAUGUCACAUGCCUGUGUGUGACACAGUUUACAAAGAGAGGAGAGAAGGAAUGGAGUGGGGAAAGGUAUCUGGCGGAAAAAAUGACUGGAACUUCCUACAUGUGGUGAGAAACAUGAACUUACAUAUGUAAGAAAUUCUGGGGCUGGGGAUAGAGCUCAGCUGGUAGAGGCUUGACUCACAUGCACAAGGCCCUGGGUUCCAUCCCCAGCACCACAAAAGAAAAAGAAAAAUUCUGUGAUCAACUCAAGGAGAACCAAGUGUAGGUACAUCAUAGUCAAAUUGCUGGAAAGCAAAUACGAAAUGAAAAAAAUUUUUAAAAAGAGCCCUAGAAAAACAACACAUGGCAUGCAGGGGUAGAGGCUAGAACUGGCUGACUUCUCAGAAACCAUGGAAACCACAUGCGAAGGCCCUGGGUUUGAUCCUCAGCACCACGUAAAAAUAAAUUAAUAAAGUAAAUAAAUAAAUAAAGAUAUUGUGUCCUACUGCAAUUAAAACACAAAUAUUUAAAAAAUCAGUAAAUGGGAUGGACUCAAACUAAAAAGCUUCUUCUCAGCAAAAGAAAUAAUCCAUGAGGUGAAUAGAGAGCCUGCUAAUUGGGAACAAAUUCUUACAACACGCACAUCAAAUACAGCACUAAUCUCUAGAUAUAAAGAACGCAAAAAUCUUAACACCAGAAAAACAACCCAAUCAGUAAAUGGGCCAAGGUACUGAACAGACACUUCUCAGAAAGUGAUAUACAACCAAUCAACAAAUACAUGAAAAAUGUUCAACAUCUCUAACAAUUAGAGAAAUGCAAAUCAAAACUACUCCAAGACUUCAUCUCACUGCAGUCAGAAUGGCAGCUAUUAAGAAUACAAACACCUGUAAGUGUUGGCGAGGAUGUGGGGGAAAGGCACACUCAGACAUUGCUGGUGGGACUGCAAACUGGUGCAGCCAAUAUGGAAAACAGUAUGGAGAUUCCUUGGAAAACUGGGAAUGGCACCACUAUUUGACCCAGCUAUCCCACUCCUUAGUCUAAACCCAAAGGACUUAAAAUCAGCAUACUACAGGGACACAGCCACAUCCAUGUUUAUAGCAGCACAAUUCACAAAAGCUAAACUGUGGAGCCAACCUAGAUGCCCUUCAGUGAAUGAAUGGAUAAAGAAAAAAUGUGGCAUAUGUACACAGUGGAAUGUUACUCAGCAGUAAGAGAGAAUAAAAUCAUGGCAUGUGCAGGUAAAUGGAUGGAGCUGGAGAAUAUAAUGCUAAGUGAAGUUAGCCAAUCCCAAAAAACAAAUGCCGAAUGGUUUCUCUGAUGUGAGAGGCUGACUCAUAAUAUGCUGCAGGGGGGGUGAUUAAAUGAACUGUAGAUAGGGAGAAGGGAGGAAAGGGUGGGAGGGGGCACAGGGAUGGAAAAGACGGUGGAAUGCGAUGGUCACCUAAGCACAUGUAUGAAGACACCAAGGACAUGACUGUGUGCGACCAGAGGUAUGAAAAAUUGUUCUCUGUGGGCUGGGGAUGUGGCUCAAGCGGUAGCGUGCUCACCUGGCAUGCUUGCGGCCUGGGUUCGAUCCUCAGCACCACAUACCAACAAAGAUGUUGUGUCUGCCGAUAACUAAAAAAAUAAAUAUUUAAAAAAAAAAAAGAAAAAUUGUGCUCUGUGUAUAAUAAGAAUUGUGAUGCAUUCUGCUGUCAUGUAUAACAAAUUAGAAUUUUAAAAAAAACACAGGAACCAGAGGAGAGGGAACAGCCCCUUGGAGUAUCGGAAGGUGUCCAGUCUGCCAAACAGGGUGCCAACUGUCUCAAGAACAAGGUGAUAAGGACCUUGUUGUGUAAAAGAAAAGGGGAUUUAUCCAGCAGACCCAUUUACAGGAAGUGCUAAGGGGCUGUUUAGGCUGAAGGAAGACGACGGCAGGGAGAAGUUUGCCCUGGUGGCGUUCAGCCCCUCACUGGGCUCUCCUCCGCUCCUCUCCUGUGCGGUGUUCGGUGAGGUGGACCAAAUGCUGGGCCAUGGCUGUAGGUCCGAAAGGACUGAAAUCAUACAGAAUACACCCCUGAUGCUGAAAUUAAAUCAGUAAUACCAGGAUAGCAAGGAAAGCCUCAAGUAUUUGGAAAUAUCCAGCAACUCGUGGGUCAAAGAGCUUACAAAAGAAAUAGAAAAUACUUCGAACUCUGUAAAAAUAACAUCAAAUUGGGGGGAUGCAAGGAAAGCAUGGGCAGAAGGAGUGAGUUUCGACUUGAGCUGAUUAUGGCUAGAAAUCAACCUGCCAGUUCUAAAGUUCUUACAGGAGUGCCAAGGGUCGAGUUCAGUUGAGGUAAUCUUGAACCCAGCUCAUCACUGGUAGUAACGUGUCACAACAGCAGAGUCACCAGACGGCUCGGCACUGGUGAGGGAGUAGGUGAGCAGACGGAGGGAGUAGAACAGAAUCCAGAAAAAGACACAGGUACCACCAGCAGUGAGGACGGCCUCCAGUGAUUGGUGCUGGGUUGACUGAAGCCCACGGGGGAAAGGAACGAAUCUGGACCACACCUCACAAACAGGAAGGGUCGACCCCAGCUGAACUGAAGAUCUAAGUGUGAGAGAAAAAUAACAAAACUUAGAAGGAAGUCUGUUUAUGAUCUUGGAAAAGGUGAAGAUCUUUAAAUAUCAGCACACACAAAAAAAUGUGCUUUCCCAUGUAAAGGGAGAAAUGGGAUUGCAUGACAUUAAGGACGUCUCAUGGGGCUGGGGACAUAGCUCAGUGGUGGAGUGCUUGCCGUGCAUGCACUAAGCCAUGGGUUCAAUGCCAGCACCACAAAAAAUAAUAAUAACUCAAAGAAGAUGUCAUUAGCAAGUCUCCAGGUGCAGUGGCACAUGCCUGUAAUCCCAGCAGCUAGGGAGGCUGAGACAGGAGGAUCGCAAGUUCAAAGCCAGCCUCAGCAAUGGUGAGGCGCUUAGCAACUCGGUGAGACCCUGUCUCUAAAAAAAAUACAAAAUAGGGCUGGGGAUGGGGCUCAGUGUCUGAGUGCCCCUGAGUUAAAUCCCUGGUACCAAAAAAAAAAAAAAAAAAUUCCCUCAGUGCAUGGGAAGGCAGCCACAGGUGGGAGAAGACAGUGCAGAGAAUGGGCAGAGUCUGCGGCACUCACAGAAGAGGGCAUCAGAUACCCCAUCUGCCACCAGGGAAGUGUGAGUUGAAACCACUGCAGCCCCUCCAGAAUGGCCAAAGGGAAGGGACUGCCCGUCCCUCGUGUUGGUGGGAUGAAGGGCAGUACUGACGGCCAGAGACUUGUUUCCACACUCUCUGAGCUAUAUAAUUGCUCAGCGUCUGGACCAGCAAUCACCCCCAAACGUGUGCUCCACAGAAGCGUACCCUGCGUGCCAGGGAGGCCAGCCAGGAUGCACUCAUGGACCCCGCUUCGUGGCCUCUGCAGACACCCAGACCUCCACAGCAUCAAAGCAGGCAGGUGGCCACUGGCAGCCAUCAUCGUACCCCAUUUCCCUGAUCAGACUAGGUGAAUCAGCCCCCAUAGCGGGACGCCCGCAGCCUUGGUCUCAGGACCAGCUCACUCCACCGGCUGCCGUGUGCUCAGGGCUCAUGCGAACUGGCAGCAUGAGUUGGCAUCUCUUGACUUUUCCAGGCUGACUGAUGCUCCUUGGACGUAUGCAGCACGUAUCUCGUGUUUUCUCAUCCACUUACCCUUGAUGGACACUUGGGUGGCUCCCACCUCUUGUACUCGUGGGUUUUGGCACCUCUGAUGAACAGUCAGGCGUCAGUGGUCCAGUGGGAGCUUAGUAACCCAUCUAAGGAGGCCGACGAGAGCUCUGCCUGCCCAUGGGAUGCUUUCCUUGGUGUGAGCAUGCCUACCGUGGCUGACUUCAAGCUGACCCACGAUGUCACUGAACAUGUGUUAGUCAGCUUCCCGUCACUUGUGAUGGUGAACCCACGAAUGGGUGAGUCCACUAAUGAGGUCGGAGCCCUCAUGAUACAGCCACCUCCCCAAAGCCCCUCCUCUGGACAUGGCCGCAUUGGAGACCAAGCUUCCUCACGCGAGCCUUAGGGGAACGUUCAGAUCCAACCACACAGUGUGGAGUCUGGAAGAGAUGCCCAGGUGAUUCUGGUCAACUGGGUGCAGCAUGUGUGCCACGGAAUUAUCCUUUGUUCCUUAAAACCUGGCCCCACUCUGAAAGCACAUAGGAAAGUCUACACAGGGGUCUCUUUCCUCCAGGAGAUGCAGGAGGACAUGGCAGGGUGUAGCCAGGACCAGCUCAGCACUAGUGAGAGGGUGGGCUCCGGUGGGUUGAGUAGCGCCCCCAAAGAUAUGUCCAGGGAGGGGAAAGGGGAGCUAGUGUGCGACGGGGACAGUUUCAGCCUCACAAGAUGAGAAGGGCUCUGGAGGUGGCCACAGUAGUCGUUGCCCAACAAGGUGAAUCUACUCACUGCCACCAAACUGCUUGGACUGGAAUUCCGUCACAACUGCAGGGACGGCUGUACCAUGCAUGUGGCAAGAGGUGGGAAGAGGGGUACUGCUGGGAGCCAUUAGCCAAGUAGGUAUGACAAUUUCCUUGCCAGCAUACCCCAUGUUGCAGUGACAUUGAAUGUAGGUGACCUUGCUCAAGGACCAGGGUGGAUUAGGGCUGGUGUGAGUUCGGGAAUAAAGAGUUGCUGUUUGAAUCUACAAGCUGUGUGGUGGCUCGUGAUUGUGUGCCCAGCCAGACUGCAGCAUUUGUGCCCAGCCAGACUGCGGCAGGGUACAGCCAUUCAAGAAAUAGGGGGCGAGGUGCCUCAAAAAGCCAAAGUAGAGCCACCGUGUGAACCAGCUGUCCAUCUCUGGGUGUGCUUCCCAGGAGAUUGAAAGCACGUGUCACAUAGAUAUCUGCCCCAUGUUCACGCGCCCUUGUGCACAGUCGUAAAGAUACAGAACAGCCUAAGUGUCCACCCGCAGAAAAAUAGGCAAAAAAAC
rnacentral:lncRNA from 1 species